rnacentral:rRNA from 1 species
AAUGAACGCUGGCGGCAGGCCUAACACAUGCAAGUCGAACGGGUACCUUCGGGUGCUAGUGGCGGACGGGUGAGUAACGCGUGGGAACAUACCCUUUGGUACGGAAUAGCCUCGGGAAACUGAGAGUAAUACCGUAUGUGCUCGAAAGAGGAAAGAUUUAUCGCCAAAGGAUUGGCCCGCGUUGGAUUAGGUAGUUGGUGGGGUAAUGGCCUACCAAGCCGACGAUCCAUAGCUGGUUUGAGAGGAUGAUCAGCCACACUGGGACUGAGACACGGCCCAGACUCCUACGGGUGGCUG